AGUGAACGCUGGCGGUAGGCCUAACACAUGCAAGUCGAACGGCAGCACAGUAAGAGCUUGCUCUUACGGGUGGCGAGUGGCGGACGUGUGAGGAAUACAUCGGAAUCUACUUUUUCGUGGGGGAUAACGUAGGGAAACUUACUCUAAUACCGCAUACGACCUACGGGUGAAAGGAGGGGAUCUUCGGACCUUGCGCGAUUGAAUUAGCCGAUGUCGGAUUAGCUAGUUGGCGGGGUAAAGGCCCACCAAGUCGACGAUCCGUAGCUGGUCUGAGAGGAUGAUCAGCCACACUGGAACUGAGACACGGUCCAGACUCCUACGGGAGGCAGCAGUGGGGAAUAUUGGACAAUGGGCGCAAGCCUGAUCCAGCCACACCGCGUGGGUGAAGAAGGCCUUCGGGUUGUAAAGACGUUUUGUUGGGAAAGAAAAGCAGCAGGUUAAUACGAAGCUGUUCUGACGGUACCCAAAGAAUAAGCACCGGCUAACUUCGUG
rnacentral:rRNA from 1 species